rnacentral:misc_RNA from 1 species
UCUCCGUUGGUGAACCAGCGGAGGGAUCAUUACAGAGUUUCCAAACUCCAAACCAUUUUUAACCUACCCAUAUUGUCUCCUCCACGCGACCUCCUCCGGGAUUCACUGCUCCCGAUCGCUGCGCUUGCCGGGGACCCCAGCAUCCUUCAUUUUUGUGUCUUCCCGCUGACUGCUAAACUCUUUAUAUUUUAAAACUCUCAACGACAAAACAAAUAUAACUGAAAACUUUCAAGAACGCAUCUGAUGGUUCUGGCAUCCAUGAAGACCGCAGCAGAUCGG